rnacentral:rRNA from 1 species
CCUACGGGAGGCAGCAGUGAGGAAUAUUGGUCAAUGGACGCUAGUCUGAACCAGCCAAGUAGCGUGAAGGAUGACUGCCCUAUGGGUUGUAAACUUCUUUUAUAUGGGAAUAAAGUGCAGUAUGUAUGCUACUUUGCAUGUACCUUAUGAAUAAGGAUCGGCUAACUCCGUGCCAGCAGCCGCGGUAAUACUGAGGAUCCGAGCGUUAUCCGGAUUUAUUGGGUUUAAAGGGAGCGUAGGCGGUUUGUUAAGUCAGUUGUGAAAGUUUGCGGCUCAACCGUAAAAUUGCAGUUGAUACUGGCAGUCUUGAGUACAGUAGAGGUAGGCGGAAUUCGUGGUGUAGCGGUGAAAUGCUUAGAUAUCACGAAGAACUCCGAUUGCGAAGGCAGCUCGCUGGACUGUAACUGACGCUGAUGCUCGAAAGUGUGGGUAUCAAACAGGAUUAGAUACCCGUGUAGUC